ACCCAACCACACCCAAGGGGUGACAUCUUCCGGUGAGGCUGGGACAUUAGCACCUCAUGCCCGUGCUUGCAGGCCCCUCACAUCAGCCACUGCUCCUUCUCCUUGAUGAAGUGCUCUGCCCAGCGGCGCGUCAGCUCCAGGGCCGGAUGCUGGUGUCGAUGUAGCCAGGCCCUACGCUGGGAAUGAACAUGAGGUUGUUGGCAUCACAAAAGUUCUUCACAGCUUUCCAGUUCUGAUGGGAGGAGCCGAAGGAAAAACCGUUGGAGGCAAACGGUAAAAUGCACCAUGGGAGCCAUACCUGAGGAGCAGGAGAAAGAAGAGCCUGAGCCGGCAGCCUGGGAUGAAAGAAGCCAGCACAGCUGGAGCGCCAGCCUUGGAGGAGAUCUUUCCUGACGCCCAAGUACAAUUUUGCAUCCAGCCAGUCUCCACAGUUGGACUCAUGCCUCUAAGCAACAACUGAGUUCCCUCUCUCCUUCCCUCUCCCCAGCCGUGUCAUUCCUCUGUUCAAGCCUCACUUCCCUGCCUUAGGCCAAGCUACCACCAUCUUCCGUCUUCCAUCUGGACUGCACCCAUCAACAGCCCCCUAAAUGGUCUCCCGGCCCCCACUUCCACCUCCCUGUAAUCCAGUAAAUCAGAUCUGACUGCUCCUUACCAAGACCUCCACAGCCCCAUUUACUCCAUGUGGCCCUGUCCACCUCCAUUCCUGCUAUUACGCCAGCUAUCUUUACACUGUGGCUACACUGGCUGCUGUCAAGCUUCACCCAUGGUAUGGCCUUUGGAGCUGACAGCUCUCUGCCUGGAGUUUUCUGCCUGCCCCAGAUCUUUGCAGAGCCGACUCUCCAUUCAGAUGCUGGCUCACAUGUCGUCUCAGAGAGCUUCACUUGACCACCCAUUCUAAAGUAGUUUCUUGGGCACAUGCUAACACAACACCCUGCUUUAUUCUGAUACUAGGUUUUCAUAGCAUGAAUCACUGUAUGAUUUGUCAUCUGUAACUACUGUCUGCUCUACUGUAUCGCCAACACACACUAGAAGGUAAAUUUUGCUAGUCCUACCUAUUACUGUACAACUGGGACUUAGGACAGUGCCUGGACACCUGAAGGCACUCAAUAAAUAUUUUUUGAAUAAACGAAUGAAUGAAAUGUGCAAGCACCGUACAAGCCACUUUCACCUAUAUCAGCUCAUGUAACUCUCACGAGACUCAGGUUAAGAGGCUGACCUCCAAUCACAAAUUGGAGGCCACAGAACUAGAAUUCAAACCCAGGGUGCCAUCUCCAAGCCCAGUACUCUUUUACUAUAAAACAGUUGCUGGGGACACAGGCAUUCUGCCCUUUUUUCUCUUAACCUGCACCUCCAAAUCUUCUUUCCCUGCCCCCAUUUU